CCAGAAUCCUUUGGACUGGAAAGAACUUAUAACGGGUCAUACCACCAGUGCCGUCUGCCUCAUUGGGCCCAGACCAGCUGGCUACCACAGACGAAUGGAGGGAAGACACAUUGGGGCCUGGGUGAACAGUUUUCUUUUCCCUAACAAGGGCCAAGCCUAGUGCAGCACCAUCGGGAAGGCCCCUGGGGCCAAUUAAGAGCUUGUUGGAAGCAGCAGCCUAAUCAGACACCUGCAGCCAAUUAAGGCCUGUGGAGCUGUUUUAAAAGGUUCCCCCUCAGAUUCUGCCUUGAGAGGGGAGACUAGGACUACAGAGAGAAGAAGCCAGCAUGUGGAGGACCACAGUGAGUCUCUGAGGCAAACCCUGUUGCCAGAAAAGCGGGACCCAUGGGGCCUGGCCAAGCUUUUCCACAUUAUCCAAGACCUGAUCAAUGAGGCUUUGAAGCACAUGUGAAGAAUGCGAGAUGUCCCAUCUACUUCAAUACAGCUGCAUCUAUUUAGAGAUAAACUUGAAUACCUUAUAUUCAGGACUUGGAAAAUGAUAGGUGGUGCA